AGAGUUUGAUCCUGGCUCAGGACGAACGCUGGCGGCGUGCCUAACACAUGCAAGUCGUGCGAGAACGUCUUCUUCGGAAGGCUAGUAAAGCGGCGAACGGGUGAGUAACACGUGAGCGAUCUACCCGGAGGCGGGGGAUAGCCCAGGGAAACCUGGAUUAAUACCGCGUACAGCGUUGGGCUUGGAUACCCAACGUGAAAGCUGGCCUCUUCUAUGCUAGCGCCACCGGAUGAGCUCGCGGCCUAUCAGCUAGUUGGUGGGGUAAUGGCCUACCAAGGCAAUGACGGGUAGCUGACGUGAGAGCGUGAUCAGCCACAUUGGGACUGAGACACGGCCCAGACUCCUACGGGAGGCAGCAGUGGGGAAUAUUGCGCAAUGAGCGAAAGCUUGACGCAGCGACGCCGCGUGGGGGAGGAAGGCCUUAGGGUCGUAAACCCCUGUCAGAUGGGACGAACCGUAGAUCGGCUAAUAUCUGAUCUGCCUGACGGUACCAUCAGAGGAAGCUCCGGCUAACUCCGUGCCAGCAGCCGCGGUAAUACGGAGGGAGCAAGCGUUGUUCGGAAUUACUGGGCGUAAAGGGCGCGUAGGCGGCCUAAUAAGUCCAGUGUGAAAUGCCGGGGCUCAACUCCGCGCACUGCAUUCAAUACUGCCCUGGCUGGAAAAAGGUAGAGGCCAACGCAAUUCCCCGUGUACCGGUGG
rnacentral:rRNA from 1 species